rnacentral:tRNA from 1 species
CAAUAAGUAGUUUAUAGAACAUUAAUUUUGGAGAUUAAAAGAAUGAUUAAAAAUUAUUUUAUUGA